rnacentral:tRNA from 1 species
GCGCCCGUAGCUCAGCUGGAUAGAGCGGGAGACUUCUAAUCUCUAGGUCGGGGGUUCGAAUACUCUGGGCGUGCCA